rnacentral:sRNA from 1 species
UUUUUUUUGGCUUUUUU